GACGAACGCUGGCGGCGCGCCUAACACAUGCAAGUCGAACGAGAGAUGAGGAGCUUGCUCUUCAAAUCGAGUGGCGAACGGGUGAGUAACGCGUGAGGAACCUGCCUCAAAGAGGGGGACAACAGUUGGAAACGACUGCUAAUACCGCAUAAGCCCACGGCUCGGCAUCGAGCAGAGGGAAAAGGAGCAAUCCGCUUUGAGAUGGCCUCGCGUCCGAUUAGCUAGUUGGUGAGGUAACGGCCCACCAAGGCGACGAUCGGUAGCCGGACUGAGAGGUUGAACGGCCACAUUGGGACUGAGACACGGCCCAGACUCCUACGGGAGGCAGCAGUGGGGGAUAUUGCACAAUGGGGGGAAACUCUGAUGCAGCGACGCCGCGUGAGUGAAGAAGUAUUCGGUAUGUAAAGCUCUAUCAGCAGGGAGACAGUGACGGUACCUGACUAAGAAGCUCCGGCUAAAUACGUG
rnacentral:rRNA from 1 species